rnacentral:rRNA from 1 species
GACGAACGCUGGCGGCGUGCCUAAUACAUGCAAGUAGAACGCUGAAGGAGGAGCUUGCUUCUCUGGAUGAGUUGCGAACGGGUGAGUAACGCGUAGGUAACCUGCCUGGUAGCGGGGGAUAACUAUUGGAAACGAUAGCUAAUACCGCAUAAUAGCAGUUGUUGCAUGAUAACUGUUUGAAAGGUGCAAUUGCACCACUACCAGAUGGACCUGCGUUGUAUUAGCUAGUUGGUGGGGUAACGGCUCACCAAGGCGACGAUACAUAGCCGACCUGAGAGGGGGAUCGGCCACACUGGGACUGAGACACGGCCCAGACUCCUACGGGAGGCAGCAGUAGGGAAUCUUCGGCAAUGGACGGAAGUCUGACCGAGCAACGCCGCGUGAGUGAAGAAGGUUUUCGGAUCGUAAAGCUCUGUUGUAAGAGAAGAACGAGUGUGAGAGUGGAAAGUUCACACUGUGACGGUAUCUUACCAGAAAGGGACGGCUAACUACGUG